UACGUAGGGGGCUAGCGUUGUCCGGAUUUACUGGGCGUAAAGAGCGCGCAGGCGGUCGAUCAAGUCGAGUGUGAAAGCCCCCGGCUCAACUGGGGAGGGUCAUUCGAUACUGAUCGACUCGAAGGCAGGAGAGGGUAGUGGAAUUCCCGGUGUAGUGGUGAAAUGCGUAGAUAUGCGGAGGAACACCGAUGGCGAAGGCAAUCCCCUGGGCCUGCACUGACGCUCAUGCACGAAAGCGUGGGGAGCAAACAGG
rnacentral:rRNA from 1 species